rnacentral:lncRNA from 1 species
UAUGAAUUGUAGUGAAUUGGCUACAUUUUGAGUUCUUGAAGUAUAAAAUUAUAUGAUUAUUGCUGUUAUGAAUUUUAAAAAGUAUUAGGUUUAAGAAAGUGAAUUUUGGGCUGGAGAGAUGGUUCAGAGGUUGAGAGCAUUGACUACUCUUCAGAAGUCCUCAGUUCAGUUCCCAGCAACCACGUGCUGAAUCCUCUUCUGGUAUGCAGGCAUAAAUGCAAGCUGAACACUGUGUACAUGAUAGAUAGAUAGAUAGAUAGAUAGAUAGAUAGAUAGAUAGAUAGAUAGAUGUUUUUUUAAAAGUGAAUUUUGAAUACUGUAGUUGUUUAAUGAUUUUUUUUUUAGUUAUUUUUUUAUUAGGUAUUUUCCUCAAUUACAUUUCCAAUACUACCCCAAAAGUCCCCCAUACCCACCCACCCCCACUCCCCUACCCACCCACUCCCCCUUUUUGGCCCUGGCGUUCCCCUGUACUGGGGCAUAUAAAGUUUGCAAGUCCAAUGGACCUCUCUUUCCAGUGAUGGCCGACUAGGCCAUCUUUUGAUACAUAUGCAGCUAGAGACAAGAGCUCCGGGGUACUGGUUAGUUCAUAUUGUUGUUCCACCUAUAGGGUUGCAGUUCCCUUUAGUUCCUUGGGUGCUUUCUCUAGCUCCUCCAUUGGGGGCCCUGUGAUCCAUUCAAUAGCUGACCGUGAGCUUCCACUUCUGUGUUUGCUAGGCCCCGGCAUAGUCUCACAAGAGACAGCUACAUCUGGGUCCUUUCAAUAAAAUCUUGCUAGUGUAUGCAAUGGUGUCAGCGUUUGGAAGCUGAUUAUGGGAUGGAUCCCUGGAUAUGGCAAUCACUAGAUGGUCCAUCCUUUCGUCACAGCUCCAAAUUUUGUCUCUGUAACUCCUUCCAUGGGUGUUUUGUUCCCAAUUCUAAGAAGAUAAUAUAUUUUAAGAGGAGUAUUGAGUGUUUCCCUCACAGCAUUCUGAAUACUCUUGUAUUGCCUGCAUACUUUCUGUUAGCUGUGAUGGCUGAAGGCCAUUCUAGUUAAACUCAGGUGCUAUGAAAGUCAGAUAUAGUACCAUUGUUAUGAUUCACUUCUAAUUUCAUAUACUGAUCUCUCAAUUUCUUAUAUUUUUAUGCAUGACUUCAUAGCUUUAUAAGUAAACUUUAUAGUUGAAUUAAGGUUCUUCAUUUUAAAGCUGGAAGUUGAAAUAAAAAUUGAGAGUGCAUCACUAGAUGUCACUAGGAAAGAUGUCAAACAUGCAUGCUGUAGCUGAAGCAAUGCAAGGGUGCAAUUUUACAAGUAAACUCACUUUACAUGAGACAUACAUUGUGAGACACACAAUAAAAAAGUCAGCUUCCUCAGUUUUAGUUAUUUUUACCAUACUAAAAUUUUGAUCUUGCCAUAUGCCUUUAAUAAAUCAUGGUGAUAGUAUAAUCUGCUAUAGUGAACACUUAGUACUUUAUUGUGAGCUGUUAUAAUAAGAGAUUGUCAGGGGGAAAAAGGAGAGAUGCAGGGUGACCACUUUGUGAUAUUGAAAUAAUCUUAGCUAUAUAUAUAUAUAUAUAUAUAUAAUUAUAAUAACCAGGAUAAUGAAGCAGUAAGCCAGCCAUAAGCUAGUGACAAAAAGUAUAUUGAUAAUGUCAGUGUAUUAGCUGCCUUUGACAGUGAUAAGGUAGGACUUGAAAACUGGCAACAUGGCUGUUACUUGAUGGCUUUGCCAUAACAGUUAAGUAAUGUGGAUUUGGCAUAGAGUUUGGUGGGUUAGGUUUGACAGAGUGGAAACUGGUGAGGAAGCAAAGCUGAUGAGCACAGAAAAUGGCUUUUAAGGAAUUUUCCUGCAAAAAUGAAACAAGGAAGUAAUAUGGGAGCUAGGGAAGAAAGAGAAUAGUAAUAAUAAUACACUUUCGUUUUAUUUUAAUAGAGGAGAAAUAAAUACAUGUAUCCUAAUAGGAGAAUACAC